GAAAAUUAGAAAGAAACACUUCAAUUUUGAACACACAAGUUCGUGUAAUUGAUGAAGGGCUAGAGGACGAAAAUGCUUCUGAAACCAAGAAGCUAGCUGAAAAGCAGAGGAGGGAAUCAAUGAAGCACGUCGAGCAGGAAAGAGUGGAGGCCCUCGAUCAUACAAAAACUAUCCCGUUGUGCGAAAAUGUCCCAGAUAGAACAGUAAUUAUUGAGAAGGAAAUGCAAGAUGAAGAAGAAAAACGCCUCUU
rnacentral:lncRNA from 1 species